rnacentral:rRNA from 1 species
UCCUUGGUGAUUCAUAAUAACUUAACGAAUCGCAUGGCCUUGCGCCGGCGAUGGUUCAUUCAAAUUUCUGCCCUAUCAACUUUCGAUGGUAAGAUAGAGGCUUACCAUGGUCUUAACGGGUAACGGGGAAUUAGGGUUCUAUUCCGGAGAGGGAGCCUGAGAAACGGCUACCACAUCCAAGGAAGGCAGCAGGCGCGCAAAUUACCCAAUGCUAAUUCAGCGAGGUAGUGACAAUAAAUACUGAUACGGGGCUCUUUCGGGUCUCGUAAUUGGAAUGAGUACAAUCUAAAUCCCUUAACGAGGAACAAUUGGAGGGCAAGUCUGGUGCCAGCAGCCGCGGUAAUUCCAGCUCCAAUAGCGUAUACGCAUUUUGCUGUAGUUGAAAAGCUCGUAGUCAAGCUUUUGACCCAUCUAGCUGGUCUCGCCGCAAGGUGAGCACUGGUUCAGUGUGGUCUUUCCUUCUGCGGACCCAUGUGCCCUUAACUGGGCGCUGUGGUGAAGUAGGACUUUUACUUUGAAGAAAUUAGAGUGUUCAAAGCAGGCUUCGGCUUGAAUAGGUUAGCAUGGAAUAAUAGAAUAGGACCUCGGUUCUAUUUUGUUGGUUUCUAGGACCCUGGUAAUGAUGAAUAGAGACAGUUGGGGGCAUUAGUAUUUGAUCGCUAGAGGUGAAAUUCUUGGAUUGAGCAAAGACUGACUUCUGCGAAAGCAUUUGCCAAGGAUGUUUUCAUUGAUCAAUGAACGAAAGUAAGGGGAUCGAAGACGAUUAGAUACCGUCGUAGUCUUUACCAUAAACUAUGCCAACUAGGGAUCGGAGGGCGGUUUUUUUAUGCCCCCUUCGGCACCUUGCGAGAAAUCAAAGUUUUUGGGCUCGGGGGGGAGUAUGGUCGCAAGGCUGA